CCAGCCGAGAGAAAUAGAAAAAAAAUAUUAUUUAUAUAAUUAGGCUGCAAAUCAUAAAUGCUUUUAAUCAUAUUUUCACAUUUAUUGAUUCUGUAGCAAUCCUGAUAGUUUUUAACAUUAAUUGGAAUUUAUCAUGACAACAAUAUAUCAAGAUUCUUGACAUAAGAAAUUUAUCAUGAUAAAUGAUAAACGAUAC